GCCCCUUUAGCUCAGUGGUAGAGCACUGGUCUCGUAAACCAGGGGUCGUGAGUUCGAACCUCACAGGGGGCU
rnacentral:tRNA from 1 species